AGAGAGAGAGAGACAGAGAGAGAGAGAGAGAGAAAAGAGAGGCUGGUUAAAGAAGGACUGUUUAUAGGGGCUAUAACGUUUGAAAAUCACGCAGAACGCUGCCGUGAGCUGUUUGUGUUCCUGCUUUGGCUGAAGAGUGUUGACACUUCCCAAAGCCAAGAACAAAUGCUAUGAGAGGUGAAGCCAAAAAUGAUACCAAACACGAGAUGAAGGAACGGCACCCGAGCCGAAUUAAACCACGGAUAUGACAUAUUGGUGCACGGUGAUGACAUCAGACGUUGAAGACGGGUUAUUAAGGAUGCAGGAUCAUGUCAGCCAUCUGGUGAUAUUUAUUUCGUUUUUAUUUGAUCUAAUUUGCAGUUUGUUUUCAUCUCUUGGUUAAUAAUUCAUGACCCUUCUUCUUAGUUACAUAAGAGGUUGCAGUACCAGAGGGUUAGAAUCAAAUAAAAUAUAAAAAAUGCAAAUAUGUUUUCAAAUUCAAUCCGAAUCCAGAACUCAACAGCACUGUGAUAUAGAGUCAAAUAGCUCAGGUACAUGGUCUGGACUUGUCCAUGGUUUUAUACUAGACACAGAAUCAACGGUGCAUUCGGCUUAUUUUACAGAUUUAUUUUGAUUGUUUCUCCUCUGGGGUUCAUUCCACAGUUUGGCUAUCACUGAUGUUUGGUUGGAUGUUUUGGUUGGAUUUCAUUCAAGUCUGGUGUUAAUACUGUCGAAACGUUCUAGUAUUAUUCUACUGUAUCUAGCUAUAGUACGUCAUGUGACAUCAACCCCCCAAUCCCACCCCACCCCGGAAGAUGAUUAAUAUCUAUUCCUUUGUGAGACUUUACCUCGGUUCCAUCAUCCAUAUCAUUCCUUCAGUCUUCUAGUGUAUGUUGCUCGAGUGCAAUCAAGCGUGUGCGCCGUGACAGACGGUGAUCAUCGGGGGUUUGAGAGUGAGUAAGAGCUCAGAGAGCGAAGAGAUUGCAUUUCUGCAUAAGACCAAUCAGAGUUCCCCAGUAGGAUCUUCCCAUCAUCACAGGCCCAUUUGAGAAGUUCAUCAGUAGAAGCAUUAAUCCUGGUAAUUUCAGCCCUGCUGUUCUUUGGCUGUCAGAUGCAUCAGGCCACAUCGGAGAACAGCACUAAAGCGGCAAGGAAGCCUUGUGCCGUUCUUCGAUAAUUAGACUGCCAUGUGUUCGUCCCUACAAGGUAAAAUGGCUCUUGUUAAAUGAAGAGCUGUCACAAUUUAAUUGUCUCCGCUGAGACUCGCAGGGAAAAAGGAAAGGGGGUGAGCUGUAAUCCUGCAAACACGGCCUAAAUCAUGAGAACGCGGAGGCUGAAGAAUGACUUGAGCCUCUGGAUCGCAUCGGCGCAUCAUUUCCUGUUGGAGGACACCGCGACUUCGUGGCAGUUUGGAUUAAAGAGAGAGCAGCUAUUUUAAAAGUGAUCUCUCUCUCUUUCUCCCUCAUGUCAUUCUGGGACACUGUUGAGUUGAGGGAGGAAAAAAUCAAUUUAUGUUUACUCGGUUUUCAGCCGGACAUAUUGAUCUUGCGGCUAGAUUAAAACGCCAGCGCUUUUUAGAACCCGCCUUAAAGUCACAGUCGGGGAUUUCAGAACGACAAAGUGGUGUCCCAAGCAAUUUCAAUCUCACAAAGACAGCAGCUGGGGGCCAUCCCGCUCCUCUAAACCGAACCUGAUCUUACAACUGUUACCACUCAGAGUGAUUUCUCUGGAUUUCAAGAACGUGAAUAAUAAGAAGAAAUGAUAAAAGCUACACCAAACACUUGCCUUUAAAGAUACACAGGCGUCAGUUCUUCUGAACGUGUAUCAAUAACCCCAUGCUGCUAAAGCAAUAAUCAUCCUCGGUUGGUGAAUUGCUCAGGUGGCAUUCAUGAAUUUUCCAGAACAGCAGCACUGACAGCAGUGCAGCUGGAAAUCACAGGUAUAUAUUUAUGCCCUUUAUCGUUUCUAUAGUAACAGCUUAUCCAUACGGACGUGCACGGCGGACGCUCCACGUCAACGGAAUAAACGUGUGUGUAAUUAUUGAUGUGGUGAAAUGUUCUGUAAGGAAAUAUUUCACGUUUAUGUAAGGAGUCUCCAGUGUCAGCGCUUUGUAGCAGCUGGAACUUUAUUUCCGACGUGGCUCGUGCGUUACGGUGUUUAAGGUGUGUGAGAGAGGAAAGAGCGGCUGAUCAGGGGGAUGACUGUUAUGAUGGAAGUGAGAACAGGAACUAAUUAACUGUAACUACACUCGGAUGAAACGUACGGCGAGUAAAAACGUGUCAUUGUUGACAGACUGAUGUCGUGUUAGAGCAAUAAACCGUGUUUGAAAGCGCUGUUAUAGGAAAAUAAUCAGCUUCGCCACAUUAUUGUUUUCUUUCCUUUCCCGUAAUAGCGGGACACUGAGUGUUAGAAUCGUGAAGCGAUUUCUUGUAGCGGGUGUCGUAACGUGAAUAUCGGAUAGGAAUGAAAACGGGACAAACAAAUAAAAUGAGACUGUUUUUUAUUUUCUAUCAGACGUUCUGGAUUUUUCUGCAAUUUAUGCCGAAAAUAUGGUAUACGUUGCGUUCUGUAGUAGCUCUGUCUGCCAUUAGGGUGCCUAUAUUAAAGGAUGCUCAGCAAUAUGAAGAGAUUUUACAUUCACUACAGAACAAUGGCGCUUUUCUGAUUUCUGUAUAUGCGUCGGGUGUACCGAGGUCUCAGCCUCCGUCACCGACAGCCUCCAUUACGCUGGAUUGUGCUAGUACCGUGUGCUCAAAAUGGCCUCUUUACGCUCCUGAAUGAUAAUGAGUAUUUUAGACUCAUUUACUGCAAAAUGGAUCGGCGAGACCCAGAGUGACCACUUGUUGGACUUCAGAGGCUGGCCUCGAGCAAAUCUAUUGGAAUAAGAGAUAAAAGACGGUGACGAUUAUCGGGAGCGCUCCUCGGGAGAUGGUGUCGUUAAUGAAGUUAAAAUCUUUAAAAGGCUGAAAAAGAAAAAAAUGGUUUUAUAAAAUGUGGUUGUUGUUGUUUUUUUGUUUUUUUUCAAAGCGUAGUCCAGGAUUUUUUGACUAAACGAGCUGCUUGGCCAUGUGGAAAACUAGCUAAAGUCAUUUAGGGGAAGUGACUGCAACAGGAAGUAAGAAGUGAUGCCAAAUUGUGCUUGGGGCAGUGGUGGCUUGGUGGUUAAGGCGUUGGGUUACUGAUCCGAAGGUCAGUACUGCUACUGUUGGGCCCUUGAGCAUGGCCUUAACCCUCUUUGCUCCAGGGGGCGCUGUAUCAUGGCUGACCUUGCACUCUGACCCCAACUUCCUGACAUGCUGGGGUAUGUGAAGAAAAGAAUUUCACUGUGUUGUAAUGUGUACGUGACUUAUUAUCAUUUAUAACGUAUUCAUGCUAGAUUAAAAUCACUGUAUUAGCUGUACACACUUAUUUCUUUUUUUAAACGAUUAUGACGCUUAAUAUAAAGUUUAAGACUUUAUAGAGCCAAACACGUUGUCAUGUGUUGACCAACAUAGUGAUUCAUGAUUGAAAAUUCACACAGACUCUUUUUGAUCCGAAUGAUAUUAAUGCUCCAGAGUAAAAACUGGGGUUGAAUCUCAUAACUUUAACUACAAAUAUCUAAGGUGAGGUUACAUCCUGUAACGAUGGGGCUCGGAAUAAAACGUUACCUGAACCCGAUGUUGUUUUUUUCACUUACAGCUACUUCUGAAUGCAGUUAAAUAUCUGUCUGUCUGUCUGUCUGUCUGUCUAUCUGUCUGUCUGUCUGUCUAUCUAUCUGUCUAUCUAUCUGUCUGUCUAUCUAUCCGUCUGUCUGUCAAUCUAUUUAUCUAUCUAUUCAUCU
ensembl:lncRNA